AGCCACCUUCGGGUGGUGGACAGUGGCAGACGGGUGAGUAACGCGUGGGAACGUGCCUUUCGGUUCGGGAUAACCCAGGGAAACUUGGGCUAAUACCGGAUACGCCCUCCGGGGGAAAGAUUCAUCGCCGAAAGAUCGGCCCGCGUCGGAUUAGCUAGUUGGUGGGGUAAUAGCCUACCAAGGCGACGAUCCGUAGCUGGUCUGAGAGGAUGACCAGCCACACUGGGACUGAGACACGGCCCAGACUCCUACGGGAGGCAGCAGUGGGGAAUAUUGGACAAUGGGCGCAAGCCUGAUCCAGCCAUGCCGCGUGGGUGAAGAAGGCCUUAGGG
rnacentral:rRNA from 1 species